GAUUAACGCUGGCGGCGUGCCUAACACAUGCAAGUCGAACGAUGAAACUUAGUAGACUUCUUCGGAAAGACACUAAGCGGAUUAGUGGCGAACGGGUGAGUAACGCGUGAGUAACCUGCCUUACACAAGGGAAUAGCCUUUGGAAACGAAGAAUAAUACCCUAUAAAACCAUAAAAGCACAUGCUAGAAUGGUCAAAGUGAUAGCGGUGUAAGAUGGACUUGCGUCUGAUUAGCUAGUUGGUGAGAUAAAAGCUCACCAAGGCAACGAUCAGUAGCCGGCAUGAGAGAGUGUACGGCCACAUUGGGACUGAGACACGGCCCAGACUCCUACGGGAGGCAGCAGUGGGGAAUUUUGCACAAUGGGGGAAACCCUGAUGCAGCGACGCCGCGUGAUUUAGAAGGCCUUCGGGUUGUAAAAAUCUUUUGUAUAGGAAGAAAAUGACAGUACUAUACGAAUAAGGUCCGGCUAAUUACGUG
rnacentral:rRNA from 1 species